UGGGGAAUAUUGGGCAAUGGGCGCAAGCCUGACCCAGCAACGCCGCGUGAGGGAAGAAGGCCUUCGGGUUGUAAACCUAUGUCCUUAGGGACGAAAAAAAUGACGGUACUUAAGGAGGAAGCUCCGGCUAACUACGUGACAGCAGCCGCGGUAAUACGUAGGGAGCAAGCGUUGUCCGGAAUUACUGGGCGUAAAGCGCGCGUAGGCGGUCGUGCAAGUCGGAUGUGAAAGCUCUCGGCUCAACCGAGGAACUGCGUCCGAUACUGCUCGACUUGAGUCCGGUAGGGGAUGGCAGAAUUCCCGGUGUAGCGGUGGAAUGCGUAGAUAUCGGGAGGAAUACCGAUGGCGAAGGCGGCCAUCUGGGCCGGUACUGACGCUGAGGCGCGAAAGCUAGGGGAGCAAACA
rnacentral:rRNA from 1 species